rnacentral:rRNA from 1 species
CUUAAUGCGUUACUGGCGGCAAUGAGACGAUUAACCGUCCCAACACCUAGUUGACAUCGUUUACGGCGUGGACUACCAGGGUAUCUAAUCCUGUUUGCUCCCCACGCUUUCGCACAUUAGCGUCAGUAUUUGGCCAGGUGGUCGCCUUCGCCACUGGUAUUCCUCCCGAUAUCUACGAAUUUCACCUCUACACCGGGAAUUCCACCACCCCCUCCAAUACUCAAGUCUCACAGUUUCAAAUGCACGUCCAUGGUUGAGCCAUGGGCUUUCACAUCUGACUUACAAAACCGCCUACGCGCGCUUUACGCCCAGUAAUUCCGAACAACGCUUGCACCCUCC